rnacentral:SRP_RNA from 1 species
UGGAAUGGAUACUGUGGGUCCGAGCAUGGUUCCAGCCUUGCCCGAUUCUUUUGCCACCAUGAUCAGGAAGCUCCAUUUCACUUCCAUGAAGACAGA